GACGAAGGGGGCAGCGAGGGCACGGAGAGCCCGGGCUGUCUCGUCUUGAGUGGGAGGCGGGAGGCGGCGGCCGCGCCGGGGAGCCGGCACCUGGAGAGGUGAGAGAGGCACGCUCGGAAAAACUUUAAAAGGCGACAAGUUACUGUUGUCCCACUUGGGACCCAGAGGACAAGGAUGAAAAGUGGUUUCCAGGAUGGACACAACCAGUCUGAUCUAAAAGAGAUCUGAACAAGUGAUGUGAGGCACACUCUGCUGCUUGGACUGGGGACCACGGGUUGCUACCUGGAGCAGAGACAAGGAAGAGACUGAGACCUGUUUCUUCAUAGUACCUGAAGCCUAACCAGCCUGCACUGUGGGAACUCAAGUCUCUGCAAGAUGUAGCAACUGAUCCCAAUUCACUUUUGUCAGAAUAUAUUUAAAAUACCAAUUUGGGUAUUCAGGUUUUGGAAGGCAGCUCAGCAUCCAUCCUCUGUGCAUUGCAGAAAGUAUCUGUGUAGAAAUCUUUCAGCUGGAGCGGAGUGUGAUAAAUCCUGCCUGGGAUCAAACCUAAUUCUUAGGCAUAACUGCCACUAGCCUUGGUGAGAAUCUGUGCUGCCAUACCAAAUGCGAAUUUGCUAUUAUAUAGAAUUAGCCCCUUGUGGAGAAGUGACUACUUUUCAGUAGAAUGGACAGCUUUCUGUGCUGUUUUAUUCAAAUAAUGUCACUAUUAUUUGCUUAUAAUAUAAGGUUACUAUAAGCUUGUGUUGGUGGAUGGGUCUAAAUCCUACUUCUUCCUUUUUUUUAUCUUACUUGGCUCAUAUAAAGUUCAAUCAGUUAAACAUGGCUUUAUUCGUCCCAACAUUAUAUAGUUAACUAAAACAUUAGUUAUUUAACUGAAUCACACAUCUGGCCACCUUAGGGUCCUUCUAGAACUAGUUAAGAGAGAUAGUAACUUUCAGAUAGUUAUUGAGAUCUUAAAAUUAAUUUAUUCAGCUCCCUCUUUCACCUGAGAGACCCCUAUGGCAACCGUACUUCUCAUGUAGUCACCUUUACUUACCUGAGAAAAUCAAAUUUUUUAUUCAGAAUACAUAGCAUGUAUGAGAGUUCUUUAAAUAGUACGUGUGUAAAGUCACUAAAUGGGAAAGGUAUGGCUUAGUUAUUUAUUGUAAGCAAACUAUCUUUGUUUUGCUCAGAUCAGAAUUGUUAACAUUUCCAACAUGAGAGAUGUAUUUUCCUUGUGCAAGCAAACGUGUAUUGGAAAGGAAUGGUUUCAUGAUGGAGAUGUGUGCUUUCUGGUUAAUGAUCUGCUCUAUCAGAGUCCCACAUAAAAUACAGAAAAAAACCAAAGUUCCACACAACAUUUGUGUAAGUCUAAAGUCACAAAAAUAUUUUUAGGAAACAGGUGUUCCUCUUUACAUAUGGUCUCUGUGCCAGGAAAGUCAGUGCAGGUAUUCUGCCUUUAAGGUUUCACAUGAAGCAGAUCUCAGCUGAAUAUGGGCUGCAGACGAUUUGGCAUUUUAUUUGUAAAACCACUUUAGGAAGAUUUGUAUACCUUGAUGGGAUCAAGAUGGGUUCACCUUGUAGCUUGUGCCAAGGUAAAAAGGUGUUACUAACGUAACAAAAUAAUAAUCAAGCAUAUGCUUGCCAAAUCUAAUAAAAAUGUGUGUGUUUGUG